rnacentral:rRNA from 1 species
GAUGAACGCUGGCGGCGUGCCUAAUACAUGCAAGUCGAGCGAACAGAUAAGGAGCUUGCUCCUUUGACGUUAGCGGCGGACGGGUGAGUUACACGUGGAUAACCUACCUAUAAGACUGGGAUAACUUCGGGAAACCGGAGCUAAUACCGGAUAACAUAUUGAACCGCAUGGUUCAAUAGUGAAAGACGGCUUUGCUGUCACUUAUAGAUGGAUCCGCGCCGCAUUAGCUAGUUGGUAAGGUAACGGCUUACCAAGGCAACGAUGCGUAGCCGACCUGAGAGGGUGAUCGGCCACACUGGAACUGAGACACGGUCCAGACUCCUACGGGAGGCAGCAGUAGGGAAUCUUCCGCAAUGGGCGAAAGCCUGACGGAGCAACGCCGCGUGAGUGAUGAAGGUCUUCGGAUCGUAAAACUCUGUUAUUAGGGAAGAACAAAUGUGUAAGUAACUAUGCACGUCUUGACGGUACCUAAUCAGAAAGCCACGGCUAACUACGUG